GACGAACGCUGGCGGCGUGCUUAACACAUGCAAGUCGAACGGAAAGGUCCUGCUUUUGUGGGGUGCUCGAGUGGCGAACGGGUGAGUAACACGUGAGUAACCUGCCCUUGACUUUGGGAUAACUUCAGGAAACUGGGGCUAAUACCGGAUAGGAGCUCCUGCUGCAUGGUGGGGGUUGGAAAGUUUCGGCGGUUGGGGAUGGACUCGCGGCUUAUCAGCUUGUUGGUGGGGUAGUGGCUUACCAAGGCUUCGACGGGUAGCCGGCCUGAGAGGGUGACCGGCCACAUUGGGACUGAGAUACGGCCCAGACUCCUACGGGAGGCAGCAGUGGGGAAUAUUGCACAAUGGGCGGAAGCCUGAUGCAGCAACGCCGCGUGCGGGAUGACGGCCUUCGGGUUGUAAACCGCUGUCGCCUGUGACGAAGCGUGAGUGACGGUAAUGGGUAAAGAAGCACCGGCUAACUACGUG
rnacentral:rRNA from 1 species